GUCUUCGAGGAGCGUUGCGACGGGUACCGCGAAUCCGCAUAUUCGCCGGCCGCCCGCCAGGCUCGAAGGCUUCAAUCGGAGGGCCCGGAUGCGCAAAAGCGCUGUCCUAUCCACCGCAUCGAACCGCGCUCACGUCAA
rnacentral:ncRNA from 2 species